rnacentral:lncRNA from 1 species
CAUGAGAUAUGAGGGUAAUUAACAAACAAUGCACAAUAAUGGUAGUAAGAUUUGAUAUAUGGGAUGUAUAGGUAAAAAUCCCAAAAAAAAACCCUGGGCUAGUCUUCUUCUUCCACUUGGAAAACCUUGAAGACAAGACCUUGAAGACAAUAAGACAAUACAAAGCUAAACCCUAGACAACCAUGGAGAAAAGACAACAUAAACCUUAGCCAGGAAGACCCGCCAGCCAGCCUCCCACGCACACACCCCAUUUCCGGGCAGCAACCUAAUCUCCGGCACAAGAACCAGCGGCGCCGCUCCUCCUCCUCGCUUCUUUUAGCCAUAACAGCCCCCGUCCAACUCUACAGCCACAACAUUUACAUCCAAUUUUGCUUCUUCACCGUCUAUUCACCACGCCAGAGCCACACCAAACGACCCGAACUCCUCCAGCAGCCGUUUCUCACAGCCCAAUUGCUGCCGCCAGCCUUAACCCGCAACGAACCAAGCUAUCAGCGGCCAGCCACCACUGUAAUAUAUCAGAUUCGAUGAAGCGCACUACCAAGAGAUCCUACUGACCAUUCUUGUCAUUCUACAAGGGCAAACAAACGAAACUAGCUGAAAAAAAUUAACUCCAAACCCAUCGCCGGUUGCCGUCCGAGGUUUGAGGUUUGCGGAAUAAUUUCAGAUGUCGGAGUUUCGAGGUCCAUCUCUUCUAUCUCACUCUCUGCUUUAAAUGAAUUAAUGGUUGCUUGAUCGUCUGAUUCAUUAUCCUUAUGCUAUUCAAUUUUAAAAUGAAUUUAUACUUUAGUUGCAAUCCGGUGCUAGUUUCUUUUGUGCAAGUUAUUGCUGGCCAUGAUUUGUUGUUUUUGAAAUGAGAGAUAGGGGUUUAGUUUAUUUAAUUUAACCUUACACUUCAGAGAAGUAUAAGUUCUGAAAUUGAAAUUGGAAGUAUUUGAUAAGGAUUUAAACUUCACAUUUUGAGAAGAAUUUGGUUUAAUCUCAUUUAAGUAGAAGUGGGCCGUGGGUGACUAAAUUAAUGAGAUUUAUAUUUAAGGUGAUUUAUUUUGUUUAUCCAAGUUGAUUCGCUAGGAGCAUGUUUUAGGACGACCACAUUUGGGUAGGUAAUUUUAGGAUUUUCUUUAUUUGUUUGCUUUUAUUUUCAAGGUAAGAGGUCGUUUCCUUAGUUGAAUAUAUAUAUAUAUAUUCGGGGAAUGUCCCGAGGAAUUUGUAUGUAUUUUUAUUCGGGGUAUGUCCCGACGUAUUCUGUAAUUGGAAGCCGUGGCAACAUCAAUGGAAGCGUAGUAUAGGCUAGAAAAACUUAUUUCAUUUUGUUUUAUUUUUCUUUUAUUAGGUGGGGACGACCUCGAACCUCGUGUGUGUUUAUUUUGCUUUUCUGUGUUUUUACCUCAAUUCGAACAUUUUAUAAGCCAACUAGAUAGAGUACGCAAUUGUGAUCUUCACGGGACUUAGGGAGUGCCUAACACCUUCUCCCCGAGUCAAAUGAACCCCCUUGCCUGAAUCUGGUGCGGACUUAUAUUUGAGUCCAAGUAUUUUAAAAGGAAAAUAUUUUCUAAAAACCGGUAGCCUGACACACUGAAAUCAAAUGUCAGGUGGCUACUCUGAGUUAUUUCCUUUUCAAACGAAUUUUUGUCACUUUUCAUAAUUGAAAAACCCUUCUCGAGUUUUACUAAAUUUUUUUAUUAAUUUAAGAGGAUUAAUUAAAGUUUAAAAAAAAAAGGUGUGACAAUACUAAUUGCUUCUUUUUUAUGUUCUAGUUACAAUAAGUACAGCCAAACCUCUCUGUAACAACAUCCCUAUAUAACAACACUUCACUAUAAAAGUCAAGCUUUUUCGGAACCAAUUUUCAAGGUGUGUUAUGACAUAUGUUCUCUAUAAUCAUCCAAAUAUAUUCAAAACAAACGAGGUUAUUAUAGAGAGGUUUAACGGUACUUCUUUUUCCAGAUAGCAUGUGAUGUUUGACUAAACAUUCAUGUUUUUACAUGUUAUUUGCCUUGCAUUAUGCCUCAAUCUUGUUAAUUUAUAUGUGAAUAUUGGCAACUUGAGCUUAAUUAUGGUGCUUAUAUGUGUAGGAAUCAAUCAGAAAUAAUUUGGAAAGAAUGUGCCCGAUUUGAAGCCAAAUCAGAAGAAUUUUGAAAAAUUAUGAAAUGGCGUCCAGAAGGGCGCAAGACACCAUCUAAAGCGCCAAAGGCUGGAGCACAACAAGAAAUU